AUUUUAGUGGAAAAGAAAUCCAUUCUAAAUUUGGUGGCCUAGAAAUGUGGAAAGAAGAAAACUGAUUGGACAUGUUGUAUAAAAAUGACUUAGAAAAAAGAGACUCAAAUGCUGCAACUGUCAUAAGUACCAGCCAGAACUUUAAGGAUCAGUCUUAAGUAUCAUCAUAACUGAACAGUUGCGAAAUGAGGAGUUUUAACCCAAGCACAUCUCUAUGGGUUUAUCUAGU